rnacentral:lncRNA from 1 species
UUUGAACCCAAGUGGUGUUUACUGAAAGGUUCAGACCCACCUGGGGGACCUGAGCAUGCUUCCCUGUGGCUCUCUGGGCCUAAGGACACGCAGAGCACCCUGAAAACAAGCCUAACAAAGUAAAAAGGUGGAAGAUUGAAGGUCUGAAGAGUGGGAAGUCCCAGGAACAGGCAAUUCCAGGAAGAUAUGAGGAAAAUCAAGAAAGAGAAGGAAACUGAAGCUAGUGGGAAGUGCUUCAAGUUGGAGAUGAUGCUGAGAUGGCCAAAAAGUGAGAGGUGGAAAACAUUUGGAGUGAGUUAAGGAGAGAACGCGAGGCAAGGAAGUGAAGCUGAGUGAGUUGGGGAGUGGGGUGCAGGGGCCUUUGGCCACCCCAGGCUCUUUCUAUGUGAACAUUCUGAGACUGAUUCUGAUUUUUUUCCCCUCCCAAAUUGCUCUCUUUUCCUUUCUUCACCUACUUACUCCCUGGUCAUCCUUCCUUUGGGUCAGUGAAGUUGCUGAUUCUUUAGGGAACACUUCUCUGAUUGCUGAAGCUAAUAGUCUCUCCCUGCGGUUGCCGGUUGUUUCCAAUAGUUGACUAGUUUUCUUCCCCAGCACUUACGAGUACACAGCCAGUCACUCUGGUUGCUCACUGUCUUCCUUCUUCCUUGACUGUCAGCUCACAGGAAUGCAGGGCCCUUACUUGUUUUACUCACCACUGCAUCCCAAGGAUAUAGCAGAGUGCCUGGCACACGGUAGGUGCUGAAUAAAUAUUCGUUAAAUGAUUGAUUGGAGGAAAAAACCACCAUCCUCCAUGGUAAACCUUUACUUUACUUUUGCAUACUUCUAAAAGUAUAAUCUAGAGGUUCAGUGACUCCCGCAAAUAAACAGAAAAGGGCACAGAGGGUGGCGAUAGGGCCACUGAUAACAGGAGCUGGAAGUAGAAGACAUCUUUUUUCCGAAGUUGAAGACUUGUACUUCCAUAACCUUGGCAGAUUAGGAAAUGUCAAUUACCCUCCAAUCCAACCUCCUAUAUAGAGCCACACACUGGUUUCCUAGCCUUUUAUGUAUUGAAAAGAUGUUAUCCUAUAAAUUUUCUUCUUUUCCAAUGUGUUCUAUAAAUAUCCACUAAAAUACUUUAAUUGCAAGAAAGUUAGAUAUUUGAGGUUAUAUCCAUGUUUCAUUUCUGUGGAAAACAACACAGAAAAUGUUACCCAAGUAUAACUGGGCACCAUGGCUCCAAUAUUUUCUCAUUAUCAGCUCAAAUAAACACAACUUAGAAUAAAAAAGUCAUGUAAAGCAAUUCAAA